UUACGACCAAAUCAUGUUGAAACACCGGUACGCGUAAGAUCACCGAAGUUAAGCAAUGUCGAGCCUAGUCAGUACCUAGAUAGGUGACCACUUGGGAAGCCAGUUGCUGUAAG